rnacentral:rRNA from 1 species
CCUACGGGAGGCAGCAGUGGGGAAUAUUGGGCAAUGGAGGCAACUCUGACCCAGCAACGCCGCGUGAGUGAUGAAGGUCUUCGGAUUGUAAAACUCUUUAAGUGGGGACGAAGAAAGUGACUGUACCCACAGAAUAAGCCUCGGCUAACUACGUGCCAGCAGCCGCGGUAAUACGUAGGGGGCAAGCGUUAUCCGGAUUUACUGGGUGUAAAGGGAGCGUAGCGGGCAGCGCAAGUCUGAAGUGAAAUCCCAUGGCUUAACCAUGGAACUGCUUUUGAAACUGUGCAGCUGGAGUGCAGGAGAGGUAAGCGGAAUUCCUAGUGUAGCGGUGAAAUGCGUAGAUAUUAGGAGGAACACCAGUGGCGAAGGCGGCUUACUGGACUGUAACUGACGUUGAGGCUCGAAAGCGUGGGGAGCAAACAGGAUUAGAUACCCGAGUAGUG